UACGGAGGGUGCAAGCGUUGUCCGGAAUCACUGGGCGUAAAGGGCGCGUAGGCGGCCUGGUAAGCGUGCGGUGAAAGCCCGGGGCUCAACCCCGGGUCGGCCGUGCGAACUGCGAGGCUGGAGCACUGUAGAGGCAGGUGGAAUUCCGGGUGUAGCGGUGGAAUGCGUGGAGAUCCGGAAGAACACCGGUGGCGAAGGCGGCCUGCUGGGCAGUGGCUGACGCUGAGGCGCGACAGCGUGGGGAGCAAACAGG
rnacentral:rRNA from 1 species